rnacentral:rRNA from 1 species
ACGGGAGGCAGCAGUGAGGAAUAUUGGUCAAUGGGCGGAAGCCUGAACCAGCCAAGUCGCGUGAAGGAUGAAGGUAUUAUGUAUUGUAAACUUCUUUAGACGUAGAGAAAUAAGGGGAUCGUGAUCCCUGAUGCUAGUAUACGUAGAAUAAGGAUCGGCUAACUCCGUGCCAGCAGCCGCGGUAAUACGGAGGAUCCGAGCGUUAUCCGGAUUUAUUGGGUUUAAAGGGUGCGCAGGCGGCUUUUUAAGUCAGUGGUCAAAUCGUGGAGCUUAACUCCAUCCCGCCAUUGAUACUGGAGAGCUUGAUUGCGGUUGAGGUUGGCGGAAUUCGCCGUGUAGCGGUGAAAUGCAUAGAUAUGGCGAAGAACUCCGAUUGCGUAGGCAGCUGACCAGGCCGUAAAUGACGCUCAUGCACGAAAGUGCGGGGAUCGAACAGGAUUAGAUACCCUGGUA